rnacentral:rRNA from 1 species
GCUCAGAAUCAACGCCGGCGGCGUGCCUAACACAUGCAAGUCGAGCGAGAAAGGGGGGGCAACUCCCUGAGUACAGCGGCGCACGGGUGAGUAACACGUGGGUAAUCUGCCCUGGAGUGGGGAAUAACACCGGGAAACCGGUGCUAAUACCGCAUACGAUAACGAGGUUUGCGGACUUUGUUAUGAAAGGAGCAAUUCGCUCUAGGAGGAGCCCGCGGCUGAUUAGCUAGUUGGUGAGGUAAUGGCUCACCAAGGCUACGAUCAGUAUCCGGUCUGAGAGGACGGUCGGACACACUGGAACUGAGACACGGUCCAGACUCCUACGGGAGGCAGCAGUGGGGAAUUUUUGGCAAUGGGGGCAACCCUGACCAAGCAACGCCGCGUGGGUGAUGAAGUCUCUUGGGACGUAAAACCCUUUCGACGGGGAAGAAAACCGCAAGGUUUGACGGUACCCGUAGAAGAAGCCCCGGCUAACUCCGUGCCAGCAGCCGCGGUAAUACGGGGGGGGCAAGCGUUGUUCGGAAUUACUGGGCGUAAAGGGCGCGUAGGCGGUUCGCUAAGUUGGAUGUGAAAACUCUGGGCUCAACCCAGAGCCUGCAUCCAAAACUGGCGGGCUAGAGUUCUGGAGGGGGUAGCGGAAUUCCUGGUGUAGCGGUGAAAUGCGUAGAUAUCAGGAGGAACACCGGUGGCGAAGGCGGCUACCUGGACAGAAACUGACGCUGAGGCGCGAAAGCUAGGGGAGCAAACAGGAUUAGAUACCCUGGUAGUCCUAGCCCUAAACGAUGGAUACUUGGUGUGACUGGGAUUGAAUCCAGUCGUGCCGAAGCUAACGCAUUAAGUAUCCCGCCUGGGGAGUACGGUC